UUGGUUUCUUAGAAACCCAAUGUUAAUUCGGGUGAGCUUCAAACACUAUCCAUUAGUUCUACUACAAUUUGAUCUUCACAUGGAAAUGGCUCUAUCCACUUCUUCAGUUACUGGUAAGUUGAAUUAGGGAAUGUUUGUAAUCUUUUGUGCAUAGUAGUGGAAGAAGAAUGGGUUGGACCUAUUGGAUGGUCCAAGUAAGUGACAUGCUCAUGAGGCCAAAUGUUACCGUGUAUGGGAAGGUUUCUAUACACUUCGCCCACUAAAUCAUUUCUCUUUAGGAAAUUAUGAAAGAGGAAUAUGGCAUGUAAAGACCAAGGUAUUAAAAAGUAGUUAUGUAAUGGCCGCUACAUUGUUACAUAAAAACCUUUCUUUUAGAUGGUUGCACUGCUCUCUUUAUUAAACUAUUUUGGUUUGUACUUGAAAAGCAAGCUUCUUUUAUUCUUGUCAGGAAUGAUUUGUUUGGAUGCACACAGUUGUACUAUCUUGUUGUACGUUGUUAAUCCAAAAUCUUAAAUCUUUCUAUUUGUAGUACAUUGUAGAUAACAAUCUUGAGAACAACCCAUGGCAUGGAUUUGAUGAGUGGUCACUCAAGAUUAAAACCAAUGCGGCUGAAUGAAGUUCUAAAAAUGUUGUUGGUUUUUCUUCUUCAGUUAUUCUUGAAAGUUAUUUUGGUUGCUUUCAAAAGAUAAGCAACAAGACCCUUAGUAUUCAAAUAAAAUCUUAUUAGUUGUUGCAUGGUUUCUUUCACAAGUUCUAGUAUAUUGCCUCAAGAAGUUGCUACUCCCACACUUGCGUGAAGCCUUUCCCAUCCACAUGCAGGCGCACAUGCCAAUGUGGCACACAUGUAUAGGAUAUGAGAUUUCCAUUAGGUAUGCGACACAGUUUAGAUAUUCUGGCCAAAAUAAGGCCAUUUCACUCAGAUGAGCAAUAGUUAACAAAAGAAAUGCUUGGCUAAAACAAUUUUUUUUCUAGCCAUCCAUUUGUUUUGUACACUUUGGCAGACCUGAGUGGAACAACCUAGUUUUGAUCUAAACAAGUGCAGCCCACCUGAUGGAUAGCUUGGAUCUUACACAAGUGUGCCAUAUUGGCACAUGUUCUUUUAUGUGGAUGGGCAGCAGUUCACUUGUGUGUGGGCUCAGCAAACCUGUUGUCUCAGUUCUCAGUCUCCUUUAGUAGUUAGUCUUAUAAAAUACCAAAUUUCUUCUCAUUUUUAGGAUGAAGUGAACAAGCUUAUAAGUCAACCCUGGGUGAAAGGGAGAGAGAUAUAAUACGCCUUUUCUAUGGCCUGGAUAAAGAAUCCCUGCCAUGGGAAGACAUUAGUAGACACUGAAGGUGAGUGGUGACCUCACCAAGUAUGUAGAGCUAAGGGCGUGUUCUUAGCCAUUGUUUAGAGUGAGAGGCUACAGGGGUUAUUGAUGUCUAUUGGUUGAAAUUUAAGUUUGUUUAGUUGGAAUGUUGAAGUUUAAAGAAUUAGCAGAGGCUUCUAAUAUGGUUCUCAGAUGUCGAAGAGCAUCAAAGCAUGCCUGCCCUAUCACCAACUAGUCUCAUCUUCUAUUUUAUGGCUGUGAUUUGCUGAGGAGAUGUUGUAGCUACUUUUAGUCCCAACUGAUGUACGGUUUUGCCUAUGACAUUCAUGUGCAUUUGUAGUCUGAAAACAUUAAAUAGACCAUUAACUGUUUUAUUGGUAUUGUGCUGAUUAUUUUGUCUUGAUGAAUGUUAAAUGGGUGAAACAUGCACGCACAUGUUUAAUCAUUGAUUGAUUAUGAUUGUGUGAAUUAUUUUUUGAA